rnacentral:rRNA from 1 species
GUCGGGGAAGAUAAUGACGGUACCCAUAGAAGAAGCCCCGGCUAACUUCGUGCCAGCAGCCGCGGUAAUACGAAGGGGGCAAGCGUUGUUCGGAAUUAUUGGGCGUAAAGGGUGCGUAGGCGGUUUGGCAAGUCUGAUGUGAAAUCCCUGGGCUCAACCCGGGGUCUGCCUUGGAAACUGCCGGGCUUGAGUAUGGGAGAGGUGAGUGGAAUUCCCGGUGUAGCGGUGAAAUGCGUAGAUAUCGGAAGGAACACCUGUGGCGAAAGCGGCUCACUGGACCAUUACUGACGCUGAUGCACGAAAGCUAGGGGAGCAAACAGGAUUAGAUACCCUGGUAGUCCUAGCCCUAAACGAUGAUUGCUUGGUGUGGGAGGUACCGUUUCCUGGUGU